CGGCGGACGGGUGAGUAAUGUAUGGGGAUCUGCCCGAUGGCGGGGGAUAACUACUGGAAACGGUAGCUAAUACCGCAUAACGUCGCAAGACCAAAGAGGGGACCUUCGGGCCUCUUGCCAUCGGAUGUGCCCAGAUGGGAUUAGCUAGUAGGUGGGGUAACGGCUCACCUAGGCGACGAUCCCUAGCUGGUCUGAGAGGAUGACCAGCCACACUGGAACUGAGACACGGUCCAG
rnacentral:rRNA from 1 species